rnacentral:siRNA from 1 species
CUUCUGAAAUAUAGGUUACGGCU